rnacentral:lncRNA from 1 species
CUAUAAGCAUCACAGAUGAACAGAACUUUAAACAUUCCGCCAUGAAUAUUCAUGAAGUAAGUUGUUUUUUGUUGCCUGCCUAGUCAGCAGUCACAAAACACAUGGUGUGUGUUGGCAGCAUCUUGCCUAGGUAGAGGGCUAGGGACUGAGGCAAUGGCAGGAACCAGGACCUGUGAGGCUGACUGACAUUUCCAUCUGUAGCAAAGGCUGGUAAUUAACAGGAAGGAGUAUGCCUGCAGCAUUGCACCAUCUGCUAGGGAAACGGCUCAAUAAGAAAGGAACUGGAUGGAAUCUCAGCAGUGGCGCGAUCUGGUUCCGACAUGAGGCUGGGCAUCUGUUAGCUGAGGAGAUAGACUAUUAGGAAAUUCAACUGGGAAUGAACAACAUGGAAAGAGAGCACUCUGACCUAGCCCAUAAAAGCAACUCUUCAGAAAUGGUGUCUUUUUAUCUUACUUACCCAAGUCUUCUGAAAAUGGUUUGCUCAGGGACCAUUACAGAUCUGUUUGAAAUAACACAAUGGUUUCAAAAAUGCUGUUUUAUUCCAACAUGAAAUUCUUGAAAUCAGGAUACAGCUGUCAUCUUUUGACAAUAGAGCUAAUUUCAGAGCGAGGAUAUGAACUGAGACCUCAUGGUACCAUAUGGAAUUGAAGAAUAUAUAGGCCUUGGAAUUUAAAUUCCUCUAAGAAAGAUGGACACAGGCUUCAGAUUUAGAG